UACGGGGGGGGCAAGCGUUGUUCGGAAUUACUGGGCGUAAAGGGCUCGUAGGCGGCCAACUAAGUCAGACGUGAAAUCCCCAGGCUUAACCUGGGAACUGCGUCUGAUACUGGAUGGCUUGAAUUCGGGAGAGGGAUGCAGAAUUCCAGGUGUAGCGGUGAAAUGCGUAGAUAUCUGGAGGAACACCGGUGGCGAAGGCGGCAUCCUGGACCGGUAUUGACACUGAGGCGCGAAAGCCAGGGGAGCAAACGGG
rnacentral:rRNA from 1 species